rnacentral:rRNA from 1 species
AAACUAACUAGGAUGCCUUCAGUAACGGCGAGCGAAGCAGGCAUAGCUCAAAUUUGUAAUCUGGCGCCUUUGGCGUCCGAGUUGUAUUUUCUAGAAGCGAGUUCGGCGACAGCUCCUACCCAAGUCCGUUGGAACGCGGCGUCAUGGAGGGUGAGAAUCCCGUGAAUGGUAGGAUGUCUGCUGCUAUGUGAACCGCCUUCGAAGAGUCGAGUUGUUUGGGAAUGCAGCUCUAAAUGGGAGGUAAAUUUCUUCUAAAGCUAAAUAUUGGCCAGAGACCGAUAGCGAACAAGUAGAGUGAUCGAAAGAUGAAAAGAACUUUGAAAAGAGAGUUAAACAGUACGUGAAAUUGUUGAAAGGGAAGCGCUUGAGAUCAGACUUCCUGUCUGGACUGUCCUUGCUUUUGCUUGGGUCAACAGUCCAGGCGUGGAGGCCAGCAUCAGUUUUGACGGCCGGAUAAAGGCCCUGGGAAGGUAGCUCCCCUCGGGGAGUGUUAUAGCCCAGGGUGUAAUACGGCCAGUUGGGACUGAGGACCGCGGCUCUGCCUAGGAUGCUGGCGUAAUGGUCUUAAGCGAC